rnacentral:lncRNA from 1 species
AUGAAAGAAUACUGAAGAAUCAAGGUACUCUUUAGAAACAAUUCUUUAGAAGGAAACGAAGUAGUAUUCUCAAAGUAACAAACUUAACUCUACUCUUUCACUGGCUACAAUACAUGUUUAUAUAGGAAAUAGAAGCCUAAACUGCUGUUAACAGAAUAGCCUAACAAAUUCUAACUGACUAACCACUUAUCUAAUGACAUAUUAAACAUAUGUGUAUUGUGAAUACUAUAACA